rnacentral:rRNA from 1 species
CGCCUGUUUAUCAAAAACAUCGUCUUGUGAUAACACUCAUACAAGAUAAUGCCUGCCCAGUGAGUAAACUUCAACGGCCGCGUUAGCGUGAGCGUGCUAAGGUAGCGUAAUAAACAGCCCCCUAAUUAGGGGCCAGUGAAAGGCAACACAAAGACUCCCUCUCCCAUUUAUGAUAAGAAAACUUUUCCUUCAUGUUAAAAGACAUGAAUAAUAGAGGCAGACAAAAAGACCCCGCGGAGCUUUAUCCUAAAACCUUCUCUCCAUCAAAGAAUUUAUAUAAGAUUUGGUUGGGGCAACCUUGGAGCAAAAAAAACCUCCAAUUUUUUAUAUUUUACAACAUACAAAAUAUGAUAAAGACCCAAAAGAAGUUACCCCGGGGAUAACAGCGUUAUCUAACUAGAGAGUACACAUCGAAAGUUAGGUUUGCGACCUCGAUGUUGGCUUAGGGAAAUCCAUGUUAGCGCAGCCGCUACAAUCGGACAGUCUGUUCGACUAUUAAACCCCUACAUGAGCUGAGUUCAGAACGG